rnacentral:rRNA from 1 species
CCUACGGGAGGCAGCAGUGGGGAAUAUUGGACAAUGGGCGAAAGCCUGAUCCAGCAAUGCCGCGUGAGUGAUGAAGGCCUUCGGGUCGUAAAGCUCUUUUACCAGGGAUGAUAAUGACAGUACCUGGAGAAUAAGCUCCGGCUAACUCCGUGCCAGCAGCCGCGGUAAUACGGAGGGAGCUAGCGUUGUUCGGAAUUACUGGGCGUAAAGAGUACGUAGGCGGUUAUUCAAGUCAGAGGUGAAAGCCCGGGGCUCAACCCCGGAACUGCCUUUGAAACUAGAUAACUAGAGUCUUGGAGAGGUUAGUGGAAUUCCGAGUGUAGAGGUGAAAUUCGUAGAUAUUCGGAAGAACACCAGUGGCGAAGGCGACUAACUGGACAAGUACUGACGCUGAGGUACGAAAGCGUGGGGAGCAAACAGGAUUAGAUACCCUGGUAGUCCACGCCGUAAACGAUGAUAACUAGUUGUUCGGUCACUUGGUGACUGAGUGACGCAGCUAACGCAUUAAGUUAUCCGCCUGGGGAGUACGGUCGCAAGAUUAAAACUCAAAGGAAUUGACGGCUGAGAGNGCGACGACGACGACGAGGAGGAGG